rnacentral:rRNA from 1 species
GCGAAAUUUAGUAGCGAAGUUCCUGAUUCCACACUGCCAAGAAAAGCCUCUAGCGAGGUGAGAGGUGCCCGUACCGCAAACCGACACAGGUAGGCGAGGAGAGAAUCCUAAGGUGAUCGAGAGAACUCUCGUUAAGGAACUCGGCAAAAUGACCCCGUAACUUCGGGAGAAGGGGUGCUUCUUAGGGUGUUAAAGCCCCGAGAAGCCGCAGUGAAUAGGCCCAGGCGACUGUUUAGCAAAAACACAGGUCUCUGCGAAGCCGUAAGGCGAAGUAUAGGGGCUGACGCCUGCCCGGUGCUGGAAGGUUAAGAGGAGCGCUUAGCGUAAGCGAAGGUGCGAAUUGAAGCCCC